UUUUUUCUUUGUUUUCGUUAAAGUCAGUUUUUAGUUUUCAGUCCCUAAUUAAUAACCACUCUCUCUCUCUCUCUUGCUGCACCCAAAGAAAAUCUCUCGUAGCAAAAAAAAAAAAAACUCUUUUCUUUCUAUCUCUCUCUCUCUCUCCCCAUCCCAUCACAAUCUCCAUCUCCAUCUCCAUCUUCAUCUCCAUCUCUGUCUCUUGUAUAAAGAUAAAUCCCACAAGUCUUAAAACUAUUCUCUUCUCUCUCUCUCUCUCUCUUCACCAUGACUGAUCCUUAUUCCAAUUUCUUCACAGACUGGUUCAAGUCCAAUCCUUUUCACCAUUACCCUAGUUCCUCCUCUAACCCUUCUCCUAGUAACCUUCCUCCUCCUUCUCUUCCCACUCCCUCUUCCUUCUUCUUCUUCCCUCAAUCCGGCGACCUCCGUCGUCCACCACCGCUACCAACCCCUCCUCCUUCUCCUCCUCUCCGUGAAGCCCUCCCUCUCCUAAGUCUCAGCCCCGCCAACAAACAACAAGACCACCAUCACAGCCAUGACCAUCAAAAUCAAGAACCACCUUCCACCUCCAUGGAUGUCGACUACGACCAUCAAGAUGAUCAUAACCUCGAUGACGAUGACCAUGACGUCACCGUCGCUCUUCACAUAGGCCUUCCAAGCCCUAGUGCUCAAGAGAUGGCCUCUUUGCUCAUGAUGUCUUCCUCUUCGUCUUCCUCGAGGACCACCCUUCAUCAUGACGAUUUGAAUCACAAGAAAGAUCUCGACCAUGAUUACAGCCACGGCGCCGCCGAAGGAGGAGAAGAUGACGAUGAAGAUUUAGUCGGCGGAGACGGCGGCUGUAGAAUCAGCAGACUCAACAAGGGUCAAUAUUGGAUCCCUACACCUUCUCAGAUUCUCAUUGGUCCUACUCAGUUCUCAUGUCCUGUUUGCUUCAAAACCUUCAAUAGAUACAACAACAUGCAGGUUCUUUACUAAUCAUACUCUCCUUACUCUAAAUCUCUUACAUAUCUCUGUCUCUGUGCGCAUAACUUCUUUCAAGAAUUUCGUUUUCUUUUCCAUGAAAAUCGACUUUUAUUUUCUGAGUAAACCCAAAAGGUAAAAACCAAAGCAAAUAUGUUUGUUCACUGAAUUUCCUCGAAAAAUACAAAAAACGUUCUCACCUUUAAUCGGUAAAUAUAUAUAUAUAUAUAUAUAUAUAACAUACUGUUUUCAAAUCAAUCAAUGGACGUGUCUUUGCUCACUGAUGCAUGAAUAAAUCAUUGCAUUACAAAGAACCGAGAGACUUGAGACUGUGAAGACUGGGACUGAGAUUUAACAAGACAGUAAAUGUUCUUUAUGUCUUUAGUACUUUCAAGUCUCUGUGGUUUUGCUGCUUUUCUCUACAAUAUUGGCAAGUGUGUCAUCCUUCUUUUGUAUGAGGGUCUUUAAAUGCCUAACGUGUAAAAUAACAGUAGUCAUACAAUUUCUCAUACCUAUAUAUUCAAAAUUAAUAUACAUAGAUAUAUAUACAUGUAUGGCUUUUCAUAUAUAUAUAUAUACUCGGUAAAUGAGCUUCAUAAGAUUUUGUAUUGAACGUACUCAACAUCUUGUUUUCUAGUUUACUACUAGGCUUUGAUUAAUUUGUUUACCGUACCUACGCAUGCAUUGACAUAUCUUAUUAUUAUUUUAUUUUCUUUUUUUGUUCAAGAAUUUAGUUUCUAUGAUUUUAAUUACAUUUCAGCAUUUACUUAACAUCUUGUUGAAUGAAUAUUUGUUGUCUUUUUACAUAUGCUUCAAGGUUGAUAUAUAUGGGUAAUUAAUAUCAAUGGAGAUAAAUAUAUAAGCUAGUUAGAGUAAUCAUCAUAACAUUGAUCUUCUAGUUAAUAUAUGUUAAUUUGCUGGCUAAUUAUAUAAGGUAAUCAUUACAAAGUAUCGAAGACACAUGUAACUAAAAUGGCUAACAGACAUAUCCUAAGCUAAAGUUUCAAGACGCACACUUUAUGAAUUUUCGAAAAUAUACUACUAUAAGUUAUUAAAACCCUACUUGAGUACAUGAUCAUAUAUACUUGCAUGAUUUUGUUUACAGAUGCAUAUGUGGGGACACGGAUCACAAUACAGAAAGGGACCAGAAUCUCUAAGGGGAACUCAGCCAACAGGAAUGCUAAGGCUUCCAUGCUAUUGCUGUGCACCAGGCUGUCGCAACAAUAUUGACCAUCCAAGGGCAAAGCCUCUCAAAGACUUCAGAACACUUCAAACACAUUAUAAGAGGAAACAUGGGAUCAAACCUUUCAUGUGUAGGAAAUGCGGAAAAGCUUUUGCGGUCCGAGGGGACUGGAGAACACAUGAGAAGAAUUGUGGUAAGCUUUGGUAUUGCAUCUGCGGAUCAGAUUUCAAGCACAAGAGAUCUCUCAAAGAUCACAUCAAGGCUUUUGGUAAUGGCCAUGGAGCGUAUGGCAUUGAUGGGUUUGAUGAAGAAGAUGAGCCUGCCUCUGAGGUAGAACAGUUAGACAAUGAUCAUGAGUCAAUGCAGUCCAAAUAGCUUAUAUAAUUUAGUAUAAGUACUUAGUAAUUCGGUAUAUAUAUUAAUUAUAAGAAUCCUAAAUCUAUGGACCAAGUUUUGAUGGAGGUAGAGCUUUUCAAAGUAAAAGCUAUACCAUCUAAUUGAUCAUAGAAAAAAACGAAUCAAGAUCACUUGGAAAUUUUUAAAUUGUAUCUCUAGCUUUCUAGUCAAAUUUAUUACAAGGCAAUGUAGCAGUCUCUAACUUAUGAGGUUUCAACGGUUUCUAUUUGUAUAAUUUAUUUUUUUCAUUAAUUAGUUUUGCCUUUCGUUGUGAAAAAAAAAAAUUAUAAUAAACGUUUGAUUUAUACUUGUUAGGAUAUAUAGUAAAAGACUAGAAAAGUAGAUGCUACAUCCAUGCAUGCAUUAUGUUAAAAAAUUCUCUACAUAUGUACCAUAUUCUAGAUCGAAAUGAAUAUUUCUAAAUUUAAUUAAUUUGAGUAAUUAAUGAUAGAUUCUAGUUUUUUGAUUCCCAAAAGAUAUUAGUUUUCUGGUGGAGUUAUCUUUGAAUUUAUUGUAUAAGAAUACCUAUGAUACUUAAUUGUCUAGUGACAUCAUGGAGAAUAAUGAGAGAAUGGACACUAGAGAAUAUUACUACUCAAGUGCAGACCUUUAUUAAGAAGAUCAAAUACCAAUUUAUACAUUAUCUUUCUUUGAUAGUUGGUUGUUUUGAAAAUAAUGUGAUGAUGCUACUACGUACGUAUACCAUAUGUUUUGAGCAUAUAUAAUGCAUAAAGUUUAUACAUGUAUAUGUAAUUAACAGAGUACUUACAAGUAGCUACGUACCAUGAAAAAUAAAAUGUUUAAAAUAAAUGACUAAUUUUCCCCUAUGAAACUGCUAUUUUGUAUAAUAUUCUAAGCUAUUUUACAAAAAUACAUACUCAAGUUUGAAUACAUAAACGCAUAAAGAAACGUAAUAUAUAUAUAUAUGUAUAUAUAUACUUAAUUUGUUCAUUAAUUUUUGUUUGGAUUUUUCUCAAAAAAUUGCCUUAUAUUAUUCUUUCGAAUUAAUAAUCACCAAAGGAAUAUUGCAUUUGUUAUUAACGUGCAUGCAGCUUAUUAAUUAGCUAGCGGUUUCUUGAUCUUACUAUAUAUAAAAGUUAAUCGGACAACAAGUGAUUGUCUUAUAAUUCUAGUUACAGUUUUAGUUGUGUGUCAGUUUGUUGGUAAUGUAGAAUUCAAGAUCCAAUUCGGAUAUGAUUGUAUAACUAAGAUUACAGUUAAAGAGAGGCUUUUAUCUUCCUGCAAAGAGAUCUUUUCAAUAUGCUCCUUUUUUUUUUUCUUUUUUUCUCUUCUCCUUUUUGGGUUAGUGGACAGACAUAUUUGCUCGAUGAAGGAACAUUACACCUUUUUAUCUAUAUAUGAUUCACUUUUAAAAAUCCCAUCUUAAAAUUCGAAACCAAAUGAUGAUCAUCUCUCGACUCAGGCAUAUACACACACAGAGAUUGACCUAAUUUUCGUUUUAUGUAUAAAGGUAUGCAUAAACAGUGAAUAUUCCUUCAGGUCCUGUAAUUUCAUACGUAUGCAUGCAGUCAUGUACACGUGUAUGUAUGUGUACAUGAAUAUGAUGAUCAAUGGGUGAAGAAGGAGCACAAAGUAAUGUGAAGGAGAGUGAUAAAAAAACAAAAGAGAAGAGAGAGUGGAGCCCUAAGGGUGUGAUGGGUUGGGCAGAUUUGGGAGCAAAGAUUGAUGGUAUCAACAGUUCUCUUUUUUUAUUGCUCUCUCUCUCUCUCUCUCUCUCUCACUGUUAUUUGAUUUGACAUCUCAUUUUCUUUCCUUUUCCUUUGACCAUCUCUCUAUCGUUCUCUCUCUACACACACACUCUCACACAAAUGACCCAACUUUCAUCAUCUCCUCCAAUCAAAACCCACAUGCUUGCCCUCUUUUGUAUUCAUUUCAUUAUAUCCAAGGUUACACUUGCACAUAUUUUUUGGUGUAUAAUUGAUCACCCUAAUAUUUUACCUUAGUUUAAUUUGAUACAUAAACCAAGUAAGUUAUAUAACCUAUUUUCGUUCUAAUUUUUUUUUUUAAUUCUGGUUAUUUGUUAAGGAUAAAAUUUUUUGCAUCAAAUGCAUGAAAUGAAUAUGGUGAUGCACGAAGAAAAUUCAAGUUUAUGGAUUGUUUGUUUUUUUUUCUUUUCUUACAUUGGUCGUCACAAGCUGAAAUUAAAACAGUAGAAAAACUGGAAAAGCUAAGAACGAACAUCUUUAAAAAUUGAUGUAGGAUUCAGACAACAUUUAUUGCCAAUCAAUAUCCUACCCCUUUGUUGGGAGAAAUAGACCAUCCAUACCUCUCUUCCUUUGACCCCCUCUCCCUCUCAUCUUAUCUUCCCAACACUUCUCCAGAAAUUUCUACCGCUAUAUAGAUUUAUUUGUUGGUAUAUAAAUAAACAUUACUCCAGUACUUAUUAAGUGUGCAUGCAUGGUUCCUAGCUAUUGAAUGUUAGAUCAUCUUUUAUAUAUACGUACGCGGUAAAAAUGCAAGUGAUGCGUUGACGACAGAUGAUAACAUAUAUAUGUACGUAGCAAAAGUUUUCACUAUUCGUGUAAACUAACUCUUUUUAUUAUAUACGUACGAUAGAAAACUUAUAGAUAAACUUUUGUCACUUUAUAUUUUUUUUGGAGUCUAUAUCUAUUAUAGCUUUAUAUAUGAUUAAGCUAUAAAACAAGUCCAACAGUUUUUAAAUCACUUUUACAAAGUUAAAUUAAAAAGUGGUUAAAAGCAAGAACCACAACUUUUGUUUUUGAUAUGAUAUUAUAAAUGAUUCAUAGAUUUGAUGAACAUAGUAAGACUUUGAAUUCUAAUUUUGCAUCUUAAUUAUGAACAUAUAUUUCUAUCUAAAACUCUCAUUUAUUUAGAAAUUAUGUCUCCAGUUAAAGGUCUAUAAAACACAUGCUUACAGUACUCCGAUUAAAAUAAAUAUAGAUCGCAAACAACAGAAACAUAAAAGGUAAAUGAAAAAUUAUUGAUUAUGUAUACUGUAUUAGUUAAAAAGUUUUUCGAAUCUCGAAACUGAAUUGUUCUCUGUGAGUGUGCAUUUAUCUAAGAAGACAUUUUCAAAAUCCGAGCAAUAUAUAUUUGAUUUUUUUAUACUGUGUUGCCGGAAAGAAUCCGAACAUUGGACUUCUUCACUUUGUUCCGUAAUUAUGCUGUUAUAUUACCUAUUACAUUUAUAAAACCUAAGUUUAUACAUUGGUUGUUUAACGUAGACAAAAUUUUCUUGUCUGACAAAAAACUUAAAUGAAAAAGGCCUUAAUUCCUGCUUUUUUAAAAUCCCGAAGCUAUAUUCUACUAAAUCCGUUAAACGAAAUUUUAAUUACUUUACACUUUCCUAUGUUCAUGUCGAGAAAUGCAAAAAUGUGUAAGUGAAAUUGGGAACUACUGUUCAUAUUCCAAGGCUGAUCUGAAGGAGACAGCUUUGUCUGCCGUGGCUCAAAUCUCCAUCUCCUACAUUUAAUUUAAUAUAAUGGACACACACGUACGUACACUGUAUAUAUAUAUAUAUAUAUAUAUCUCUUUUAUACAUUAUGGAAGAAAAAUCUUCUUUUGACGUAUUCGUUUUGUCUAUACAUACAUAAUCGUUAUAAAUGAAAGAAAAAUAUACAUUUCGAAUUAGUAUUAACUAUUAAAUAUCAUCACAUAAAGAAGAUUAAUGUAGCUAUCUAUGAUUUUCGACAACUUUGUUUGAAGGAGGCCCCAACAUGCAAAAAAGAUAAAGGGAGAAAGAGGCCAAAUUGAGCUUGACUCAUGAUUAAUCACGGGUACCUCAAAAGAGCAUAUAAUAAAAAAAUGAAAAAAAAUUAAAUUUCAUAUAUAUUUUCAAAAGCAUAAUUGUAUAUAUUAAAAAACAUUUAUAUAUGGACGUAAGAAAACAACAUAUGUAUAUAUAUAUAUAUACACACAUAAUUAUUAUCUUUAUUUAAAUUAGUAUGAUACAAUAUUUCUCUAUUAGACACUAGUAAGAAAAAUGACGACAUAUAAGAGGGCAGUAUCUAUCUUUAUUAGACAUCAUACAUAUAUUAGGGUAUAUAUUUAAUCCAAUUCUUAAACACCAAAAAAGAAGAGAAGAGAGUUUAUUGAGAAUCAAACCACUGUCAAACUCUCGAGCUCUGUAUAUAAUAUAAUUUUGUUCAUAUAUGAAUUACUAAAAUAUAUAUAUUUUUUUCCUAUGAAUUUAUUUAAAGAUUGUUUUAGUCGUAACUGUUUUUGUAAUCUGAUCACAAAUGCAUAAAAUUAAAGUUAAAUUGUAUAUGUGUAAUUAAAUAAAUUAAUUCAGACCUUUUAAUUUCUGGAUUUUAAUGUAACAAUUACAAGUAGAACCAGCUUGAGAAAACUUAUUAAUAUCCAGCUAGCUGUUCUGCGUGCAUUAUUAGCGAUCGAACGAGUGAUACUAUGAACAAUAUAAUAUAAAUCUUAUAUAAACAAAAGAAUAUAUGAUCCAAUUAGCGAAGUAAUAUAUAUAUAUAUAUAUAUAUUAUGGUAAAAAAUCUUAAAACACUUUUUCUUUCUUUCUUGUGAUACAAAUAAUAAUAGAUAUAUCUUAAUUAGAAGAGAGAUGAGUGAGCUAGAGAGGUAUUCGUUAGCUCGUGAUGAUUGUCCGAGCGUGUUCUUUUGUCCAUAUUCUUUAUUUGAUCAACUUUAUUUUGUUUUUGCUACUCCUGUUAAAGCUUAUUUGAUCAUCAUGCCUCUCGUAGAUUCUCCAAGUUGUAUGUUGUGUUGGGUUUCUUUCACCAGCGAAUAUUAUCUCAAGGAAAUAUAAAAUUAAAUAAAAUGAAAAACACUUUUUCCUGUCAAGUUUCAUUUUCUAGUAAUAUUAUCAAAUCUUUAUAUAUAUACACUAAUGAAUUUGAAACAUCAUUAUUGAAGGGGGUCUUCGAAAACUAAGUUUUUAUACACAUACAUAUAUAUAUAUAUAUAUAUAAUAUGAUAAUAGUGAAAUGAUAGUUCAUUCAUAUUAUCUGUAUGGUCACGAGUGUGACGCUUUUUAUUCAACGUUUUCAUGCAUAUAUAUGAAUCAUCUAUGACGUACGCACGUAUGGAUUUAUGUAUAUGUGUGUGUGUGUGUGUGAAGUGAAGCACUGAAGCUAGAGCGUGAGAUUAUCACAGAAGGGAGGGGGCAGAGAUGAUAUCAGGAGAAAGAAGUAAUAGAAACAAAAAAGGUGGUACGAUCGAAAAUCAAAUCUGGUUUUUUUUUUUCCUUUCGAUUAGAGAAGAAAAAUAUAUAUAAAUAUGAUUGGACAUGGCAUCGACUUUUUUUUUUUUUUUUUUUUUUUUUUUUUUUUUUGUCUUUCCAAUUACUUUGAGGAGAGAUUCUAUUUUGAGGUUAACAUAACUCCAAAGAAAAUACCCACACUCACUCUUUUCCCCCAAGUUUUACCCAUCAAACCUUUCCUACAUUAAUUACCCCUAAAAGUGUAUGAUGAUCAUCUAUAUACAUCCCUGUAUAGUUGUUUUUAACCUCAAUAUUAACAAAUUUACUUGGUUUACUUUGAUAUUAAUUGGAAGAUGACCAUCAAUAUCAUCAAGUGGUAUAUAUGAUUGGUCAACUAUAUAUAUAUAUAUAUAUAUAUAUAUAUAUAUAUAUAAGUUUUGUUUACAUUAUAAUAGUUUUAGUAUGUUACUUCCAUUUGCAAUAGUGACAAGAACAAAGAAAUGGACCACAUAACAUAAGUAAAUUGUCAGUGAAGGUAUUUUUUCAUUCAGGUACUCUUUUCUUUUAUGAACAGUAGACUUUGCAUAAGACCAGCUCUCUCUGCUAUCCUCUCUCACAUAAUUAUUUUUCCUAUAUAUAUAUAUUUUAAAGAAUUUUCUUUAUAUAUAUUUGUUUUUUGAAUCUUUUUAUUUUCAACCUUCUCUUUCUGUCUGCAACAAUGUGCUUUAAGUGAAAUGUGUCUUUAUCUCCUUUCCCAUACCUCCUUUGUUUUCUUUUUUGUGUUCAUUUACUUUUCAUAAAACUAACCAAAAUUUAAUAAAGAUGAAUUUCUUACUGUUCUUUUUAUAAAGAAAAGCUACGUACUCUUGAUUUUAUAUACUUUCUUUUCGUUAGGGGUAUAAUUCGCUUAUUUUCUCUAUGUAUAUUGUUUUUCGUUUUUUUUUUACGAAGAGUACUAUUUUAUAUAUAGAGAGACGACGACCCAAAGCAAAGGACCACAUCUGCGUGCAUCCUGGUUACUAGGUAAGUUCGUCUACAUAUACUGAGAUUAUUAACUUUCAGUUUGAUUGCUUUGAAAACUAUUUUUGUAUCAAUUUAAGGAUCUAUCUUUGUAAUCUAUUUGUUACGUUCUCAUCAUCAAUUCACAUGUAUAGAAAUCGUUGGAAAAAAAAGAUUCACAGCUAUCGAAAUUAAUUUUCGACCUAUCGAUGUAGAUGUAAUUCUCACACGCUUUAGGCCUUUAGCUAUCAUGAAAAAAGAGUUUCAUAUCUUACUUAGUUAUGAGCAAAUGUAUAUCUCUAGAUACGUGUGGUACUUUUAUAUAUCGGUAAUUAAAAUGAAAACCGUUGAUUAAUUAAGAUUUUUUGUCUCGGAACUCAUAACAAAAGGGUACGUACGUUCACGUUGGGACUAAUGUGAAAAGACAAAAUACGAGAGGGAUGGGGUUUUAUGAAUUAUGAGAGGAACCCCAUACUUUAUAUACUUACCUUCCAAAGGGGAAGCAAUCAAUUUGGAGUUGAAGUGUAUGUCCUUCUUCUAAACAUUCCCAUCUCUAAAGUCAAAAACCCUAAAUUUCAGUUCCCAAAUUUUUUUUGAUCGUUUUUUCCCGAUGCAUGCACAUGCAACUCUUUAAUUGAAUUGCAUUCACGUGUCAUGGUGGAUCGAUGGUGAUCAUCUAUGUAUGCCCGAAUAAAACAAGUUACUCAUAUUUGUGUAUUACCUUUUAUAGAAAUUAGUUCUCUUGAGCACACACGCUAACGCUAAAACUUGCAACAAAAAUUUGUAUGAGAUAUUGUGAAAAUUAUUCAAUCAUGUUCAUAAUUUUAUUUUUUUUCGUUUAUGUGGAGUUCGAAUUCAUAUCAUCAAUUAACGAGAUAGAGCUUUGACAACAUUCUGAGGUAUUUGUGAUUUUUGUAUCCAAAUCAAGAUUUGGAAUAUCAUCUAUCUAUUAGACUAUUAUCUAUAGCUAACGACGUCGAUGGUAUAUAUAAAGCCCAAAAGAUGAUUUGUCUUGUAAGUGAAAGCCAAAUCAAACAGAGUGUAACAAGAUCCCUUGUUUAAAAAUUGAAUGUCCCAGUCUGAGGCCCAAAUCGAAGCUCUACUGGGCCUUAUGCCUCGUUGUGUACAAGUCAAUAAUCAAGCCCAUAUUCAGAUAAAACAGAUUUUGACUCUCUCUCUCUCUUCUGGUCCAUCCACAGAUCAUCUCUGAAACAUCACUGACGUAACGUCAGUCACAACACGUGUAGCACAGAUCUUGAUUGAUUCCAGUUCUUCGCUUGGAUACGCAACACAGCAAAGCAACAAUAUCUCUAAAGCCACAGAGAUUCAAGUGGACCUACGUAAAGAAUCUUCCACAAUUUGGUUUAAUAACAGUCGUAAACUUCUUAAACACGUCAUUAGAUUAGCCGAUACAUAAGUACAUUUGUUGUCACUGGGUUAACUGAUUGAUUCAAGUUUCUUCUUCAGACUUAAAAAAAUGGAAAAAGCUGUAACACCAAAACUUGAUAUGCCUCUGUUACACUUCACGAAUUCUCGGAAACCCAAUUCGAUUCCGUCUCCGAUUCUUCGACUCUCGAGCUUCAAUCGUCACAAGAAACGUUCUUGUCUUGCAUCGUCUUCGCGUCCAGGGUUCGAAACAGAGACGAUGACUACUGAUUCGGAGAGCCAUGGUGCCAUAAUGGAAAAUAGUACCGUUGGAAGAAGAUUAAUCGGUUUAGCCGCCGCAGCUGCAGUAGCGGUUUCUUCGUGUUGCGAUUCUCCGGCACUAGCUGAGUCUCUGACUAUCGCUUUCCCUGUUUCACGUGCUCGUGAGGUGAUCGAGCUUUUUCAUUGAGCUCUGUUUCUCUGUUUUAAACGUCUCUGGGAAAUAAAGUUUGGAUUUUGAUGUUUUGUUUAAGGUUACUACAGUACAGAGAACUCUUGUGGAAGCUUGGGGUUUGAUUAGAGAAACGUUCGUUGAUCCUACUUUUAAUCAUCAGGGUAAAGUUCAGAUUUUGAUGAUUUUUUUUGUGGAUUUUGUAGAAUGUUCUCUUGUGGAAAGUGUUCUGAUUUUUGCAGAUUGGGAUUCUAAGCUGCAGCAGACAAUGGUGGAAAUGUUUCCUCUAAGAUCAGCUGAUGCUGCUUAUGGAAAGAUCAAAGCUAUGCUCUCUACCCUUGGUGAUCCUUUUACUCGACUCAUUAGCCCAAAGGUACCAGCAAAGUUUGAUUCUCAAUGAGUGUUGCAGGGCAUGAAUUGAAGUUGGUUCUACAUUAAGAUACUUCUUCUGACUUGCAGGAAUACCAAAGUUUCAGAAUUGGUAGCGAUGGAAAUUUCCAAGGUGUUGGCCUUUUCAUAAACUCAGAACCAAGAACCGGUCACCUGGUUAGUGCAGACCUCAAACACGUCUUGAGACCUAAUACGCUUGGUUUUUCAUUUUUCUUCAAUACUGAUUCAUUUUGUGAGCAUGAAGUAGAUAGAUCUUGUUUCAUGGUAGAGCCCAAUGUAGGUUGUUCUGUCUUGCAUAGAAGGUAGCCCGGCAUAUCGUGCUGGAAUACACCAAGGAGAGGAAUUGAUCGAGAUAAAUGGUACAAUGUUAUGUCCUAAUCCUACUAACUUUUUUUCUGUCUUUCUAGAAAUUGGCUGUAACUCUGUUUAUGGGAUUUCAGGUGAGAAAAUGGAUGGUAUUGAUAGUGAAGCAGCAGCACAGAAGCUGAGAGGCCGAGUUGGAACAUUUGUUACCAUAAAACUCAAAUGUGUACUAUUCUUUGUCUUCUCUAUUGAUUCCAUAUGCAUUCUCUUUGUCGAAAACCCUGUAUACUUGAGAUCAAACCAUCUAAGUUAUUGUCUCGUCUUGCAGGUGAAUGGAUCAGGGACAGGGUCUGGUAUCAGAGAGGUACAGUUACCGCUGUUUAUGUUAGAUUUGUUAGGUUACUUACUAAAUAAGUAUAUAUUGUAUAUGUAAAGGUCAAGGUACCCCGAGAUUACAUUAAGCUAUCACCAAUAUCCAGUACUAUAAUCCCACAUACAACACCUGAUGGACGUUCAGCAAAGACCGGUUAUGUCAAACUCACAGCAUUUUCUCAGGUUAAUCUUGUGAAAACCAAAAACAAAUGAAGAGGAGAAUUGCAAUAUAUAAGCUCAUUGUUUCAAUUCUUCCGACAGACAGCAGCAUCCGAUAUGAUAAAUGCGGUACAUGAGAUGGAGAAUCAGGAUGUUCAGUCAUACAUUCUGGACCUAAGAAACAAUCCGGUAAAUUUCAGGUUUUGGUUUUGACAACGAGUUUUCGGGUGUUUGUUCAUUUUCGACACUUAGCUUUUUGACAUUUCCAUUUCAGGGAGGUCUGGUUAAAGCUGGACUCGAUGUUGCACAGUUAUGGCUUGAUGGAGAUGAGACCCUUGUGUAUACAAUUGACCGAGAAGGGGUUACAUUACCUAUAAAUAUGAUUGAUGGACACGCUGUGACACAUGAUCCACUUGUCGUGCUUGUAAGUAUGUAGUAAUGUAUUUAUGUACACUUGUAAGUAUGAAUUAAUGUUAUAUACAAGUUGGCUAGGUGAAUAAUAGAUAGAUCCAAUGAAAUUUAGGUUAAUUCGGGUCGGAGAAUGUAUAAGCCUAAUGUUUCCGGUUAAGUUUGGUUUAUAAGUCCACUCCCAAUUAAUGUUUCGGUCAAAUAUUGGAAAGGUGAAUGAAGGAAGUGCGAGUGCAAGUGAGAUUUUGGCAGGUGCCUUACACGAUAACGGUCGAGCUAUACUUGUCGGUAACCGGACAUUUGGGAAAGGAAAAAUCCAGGUGCAUGCAUAAGUCAGCUUUAAACAAUUCAAAUAUACAAAUCUUGAACUUGUGAAAACAAAAUUAUGAUUGUAUGAUUGGCGAUUUUGCAAGAGCGUAACAGAGCUAAACGAUGGGUCGGCUUUGUUUGUGACGGUGGCUAAGUAUUUGUCUCCGUCUCUACACGAAAUUGAUCAAGUAGGGAUCUCACCUGAUGUACAGUGUACCUCGGAUAUGAUCGAUUCUUUGACCGGUGAGAUACUUGAGAAGACGAACAGUUCAAUUCCAAUGCUUGAAGCAGACUCAUGUGUUAUGGUCGCGGAGCACGAACUUGAGACUCGACAAUCCAAUGGAACAGCUUCUUGAGGGGGUUUCUCGUGAAUUAAUAUAGGAUAAGUUUAUGGCCGUGUAUAUAUUGAUAGUUCAAUGUAUGUGUAAAACUAUUUGGCACUUACUUGUGCCGUGAUAUUAAUUAAUACUGAAAUACAUCAGUAAAAGCGUAUUUAAACUCAACAAUUAUCGGACAAAGGAACUUUACAUCUUAUUCGUAUAUUCAAACUUUAAAAGUCCUAAAUGCUGAGAAAAACAAAAUAAAAUGUCUUGGAUGAGAAAAAAAUCUGAUUAUAAAAGGAUGGUGAAUUUCAUGAGAAGACCAAAUCAAACGCCGUUAACUCGGUUGGAAUACCGAAUACGCAGUGCUCCAGUUUCAGUGUGAGCGAUCGAUAUUUGUCUUUCCGACAUUAUCUUUUUGGUAGAUUUACUAGGGUCUAGGUACCUUAUAAUAAUAUUAAAUGAGCCAGCCCAAACAAACACUUUAAUCCCAUUUGGUAUUACCAUAAACGGGUCAAAAGGCACAAGACCAUUGAUUGUCCAAACACUACCUGCGUUUAGAACUUUAAAUUUCACACCAUGCUUUUUCUUUUUGGUCAAAAUAUGAGCUAAUUUCUGUUUUAAACUUUGAAUUACAAACCAAACCAAUGGUUUGAUUUCUUUGUUUAUAAUUGUAGUUUUACCACGAAUAUUCUUCGAAUUAGCCAACGAGUGAUGACUUAUAAUAUACACGUUGUUUGGUUUAUUUGGGCUUGUAAUAGCUUUUUGUACCCUCUUUGUGGGGAAUAACUCUUCUGUUAAUUUGAAUGAAGUACUAGUUUGUCCAAAAAAAUAAUUAAAAUACAUGUAUGCGGAAAAAAAAAUUAAAAUUUUAUUUUUCUACAUCGAAAUUGAAACUCAUGCAUGGAGUCAUGUUAUAAUGUAACAAGAAUACAGAUGACCGAAAAGAAUGUAACAAGAAUACAGAAACAGCAAUGCUAAAAUCAAGCUAAGCCACAUAUUGCAAGUCUUUUCACCGUAAUUAUAGUUAUAAUUAGUUAAAUUUUGACCACCUUAAAACUUCUGUUAUUUUUAGUAAAGAAUUUGUUUUUUUUCUCUAAAAAUAACACAAGUUCCACACAUAUAAAUUGGCCAUGAACACCAUCCAUAUUCCUCAGACCUGCAAGAACUUGAAAAAAAAAAGAAACAAAAAAAAAAACACUAAAUAAAAAAAGAAGAAAAGAAAAAGCCUUUCAGGUCUCAACAAUGGAGAUGAAGAAGAUUGCUUGCGGUGUGCUUUUCGCUGCUGCCUCUAUGACCGCCGUCAUGGCUGCUGAGGAAGCCGGAGCUCCGGCACCAGGACCCGCUACAGCUGCCGCCUCGGCUGCUUUGCCAGCUCUUGGCUCUUUGGUUGGGGCUUCCCUUGUGUCCCUCUUCAGCUACUACUUGCACUAAGCUAAUCUUUCAUUAUUCUGUAAUAAUUAAAAAAAAAAAGACACUAAUUAUGUGAUCUUGUUCAUUUCCUCCCUACCUAUUUCCAUUUCACUUGUUUAUUAAUAAAACUGAGAAAGUGAUUUCUUGAAUAAACGAACUUUCUCUGAUAGUGUAUUGAUUUCAAAUCUGGGUUUAGCCCCUCCUGAUGGGAAGAUUAGACAAAUACUAGAAGUUGACUAUAGUGAAGAUUAUAAAAAAAAAUUGUCAGCAAAUAUAUAUUAUAUGCAAAUAUAUAUAUAUUAUAAAAAAAAUUGAUAUUGUUAAUUUUGGAAGGUUAAUAUAUAAAAGGAAUGUA
rnacentral:lncRNA from 1 species